rnacentral:snoRNA from 1 species
CCAUGCAUUCGUAAGUGAUCAUGGUCUGCCCAUGUCCUGGUCACUGGUAGUGCAGGCAGAAGAAAUGUGGGAAGGGUUGCCCUGUGUUGGAGGGUCAACAGCCUCACCUUCCUGUUCCGGGACUUUCCCCUA